GCACAAGCGGUGGAGCAUGUUGGUUUAAUUCGUAAGCAACGCGAAGAACCUUACCAGGUCUUGACAUCCCGAUGCUAUUUCUAGAGAUAGAAAGUUACUUCGGUACAUCGGUGACAGGUGGUGCAUGGUUGUCGUCAGCUCGUGUCGUGAGAUGUUGGGUUAAGUCCCGCAACGAGCGCAACCCCUAUUGUUAGUUGCCAUCAUUCAGUUGGGCACUCUAGCGAGACUGCCGGUAAUAAACCGGAGGAAGUGGGGAUGACGUCAAAUCAUCAUGCCCCUUAUGACCUGGGCUACACACGUGCUACAAUGGUUGGUACAACGAGUUGCGAGUCGGUGACGGCGAGCUAAUCUCUUAAAGCCAAUCUCAGUUCGGAUUGUAGGCUGCAACUCGCCUACAUGAAGUCGGAAUCGCUAGUAAUCGCGGAUCAGCACGCCGCGGUGAAUACGUUCCCGGGCCUU
rnacentral:rRNA from 1 species